GUUGGACUGCAUGAGGGUCUCUUGUAAGAUACUAAAGGUAGAAAAAUCAAAAUUCAGGCUGUGGGUUAGCUAAGUGAAACUUAGCAUGAAGCAAUGGACAACUACUGACGAUCCAGCAACCAUACAGUUAUUAAACUGCAACUUUCAGGAUCUGUCACCAUUAGCCAUGUUAUAAACUGCAAUUAGUAACAUCAGAGUUACAUGUAUGGUUCCUAUCCUACAUUCUAUUUAAUGUAGUAAUCCUUGAAAUAAAACCCCUGGGAAGUUCUGGGAUUCCAGUAACCUCUUUUGAUGCCGAAUAACCUGGGAUUAAAAUCUUUUAAUGAUGCUUUGAGUCAGCCAGCAAUAGAAAUGCAUUAUAUAUGCAUAAAGCAAAAAGACCUUUUCUGUGGUGGACCGCAGCUGGAAUACACUGUAUUUUUUAAGGAAUUUGGAUAGGCAACUUCAUUGCAAUCUUUUCAAUACUGGAUCAAAAUAUUUUUAAUUGCCUGGUUUGAGGUAAUGAAGUUGGGGUUGCUAUCUGCUCUUUUCAAAAGUAGUUGCACUGAGGCAAACAAGCUCCCUCCCCCUUCCUCAAGCAUUCAUCCAUUCCAUCAAUCAACUGCCCUCACAUACCAGCCGGUGUUCCAGCUGCUGGCUAAUUAAGCCACACCCUUGUGUUUGCAAGCACCUGCAGAAAUCCAGAGGCAGCCUUAUCCCACACAAUCUUUAACCUUACAAAGCAAAAGUUAAGUCAAAGGGGAAAUGUGUAGUAGGAAAGGUGAAAGCAAACAGCUUACAGAUGAGGAAGUGGAUGCAACAUCAGGCAGAGAUUACAGCACAUUACUUUCCAUGGCUGAGAUUUUCCAUAUGUUGGCUACGUUGGACCACUGAUUGUUGUGCAGAGCUCCUGGCUUCUAUCACAAAAGAUUCCUUGUUUGUCCUAAUCCUAUAUAGUCUUUAAAAUGUUGGGACUAUGAUGCCUUUAAAAUACAUGCACAUCUUUCAGCUGGAAAAAAAAUGAUACACCUGUAUUAAGGUAAGUACAACCUCAGAUAUUUUCUUAACUAAUAUUGAGCAUAUUUCCUCAUUCAAUAGAUAUCAAAAACUCCUUAAAGUAGAUGUAACAGGGAUAUUUAAACAACUUAUCUUUUUGCCUUAAUAAAAUAUAAAUCUUUUUUUAAAAAAAAUUAAAAUCCAUCUUUACUAUUUUUAUAAAUAAUUCAUGAUGAUGAAUGUAUCUACUUCUCCUUCCUCUUAUUUUCCUCACAACCACCCUGGGAGGUGUGUUAGGCUGAGGAGAGUUAUUGUCUCAAGUCACCCAGAUGGUUGUCAUGCCUAAGGCGGCAUCAGAACAUAUAGUGUCCUACUUUCUAGACUAGUGCUAGAAAGUAGACCACUCUCUCAAAUCUUAAAAUUAUUGAUGAGGUUUUGGAGUACCAUAGCAGCUAAGCCAUAUCCCAAAUCGUGUAACUACCAAUAGUUAUAGAUAGAUAGUUCCAAUAUGUCCACAGCUACACACCUAUUAUUGUAUUGCGUAUUUAUCCUACAAGUAAUCACAUAUACUUAAGCUUAUUGACAUGCUGAGGCUAACUGUAGCCUUAUUAAACAUCAGGGAUUUUAUUAAAUGAAGAAAAAGAUGCAUACAUUAAAAAGCAAAUGUAAAAGACACUGCUAAUAAAAAGGAAAAAAUACUGUGUUUCCCCAAAAAUAAGAUCCUGUCUUAUAUUUUUGAACGCCGAAAUAAGCGGUUGGCCUUAUUUCUGGGGAGGUCUUAUUAUUUUGGGGCGCAUGGAGCAAGAUAGGGAUCCUCUUGCCAUCUUACCUGAUUUCCAGCUCUGUCUCCCUAACCCUAAUCAGAGGAAAUGGCUGCAGAUGCGUUUAAAUAUUUUCAGAGAGGGCUUAUUAUUCGGUGAGGUCUUAUCAAGGGAGAUCUUAUUUUCGGAAAAAUACGUUAGUGAACAAAUGAAUUGCCUCAACAAAAAUUUUCUCCCUAAUAUGAGCAAAGGAGAAUAGCCUAAAACUUUUUAUACCACAGUAUUGACAAUCUGAAAUCAGAAAAGCAUGGUGAUAGUUUAUAUAAUAUAUAAUCCCAAAUCCUGGCAAACAGUAACAUUCUUCCUUAGUUACCAUCUUCAGCUAAACAAGAGCCCAACAAGUAGCAGCUUUCUGUAAGUCGGUAUCUAGUUGCUUUUAAAAAAGAAAUAAUUAAAAUUAAGUCAUUACUGGUAAACAUUGUAAAUUUCACAUUCAUUUUUGUUUUUUUCACUGAUUAAUUAACUUACAAGUGCCACUAUUUACAAUGUGAAUUGGUUUCUUUCCCUUAAAGUAGCUGUCAUAAUUUAGAUAAAUGGAUUUAGGAUCUAAAUAGCAUUCUGAGUAGUGAAAAGAUGUUUAUUAUUAUGUAACAGCUACUGGGAAAGUCCUGCCAAUUAGUUUUUUCUACUAGCAUUUUUUCAAAGAAAAUAAUGGGCAUCAUAAUGUAUCUCAAAUCAGUCUACUUGUUCAGUCUACUUUUCCAAAUGCAUGGAGAAUAUAAGCCAAUUGUGGGAAAAAGAAUGAAGGUGUAAGGGAAACAAUAGUAAUUGUCCCUUGGGAUUAGGCCCAUAAUUAUAUAAAUAUAUGCAAAAUCUUAAUGUUAAACAAAUGUUAUACCAUCUAACCAAUUAAGGUAAAAUUGCUUCUAAUUAAAUGGUCAAUGGAUAGACAAUAAACUUCAAGGAGUCAACUGCAAGCUCUUCAGACCCCCGAGAUCAAUCAGGUAACACAGGGGUGAAAUCUAAAAAUUUUCCCUACCGAUUCUGUGGGUGUGGCUUAAUUGGUGGGCGUGGCUUGGUGGUCAGAUGGCUUGGUGGGCGUGGCCAAUAACAAUAAAUAAUAAAAAUAAUAAACAAAGUAUAAGAAAACAAUGAGGUGCCAAAAACCAACUUUCACACUUUACACACACACAACACAACUGACUCACACACAAUGUAAAAGCACCUGCACUUCACACUUCAAACAGCCACAAAAAGCUCAAAAACCAACUUUCACACUUUACACACACAAAACUAACACACACACACACACACUACUGCUUUCUGAGAUUUUGUGUGUUUGUGUAGAGUGAAACACUACAGAAACACACCAAAUCUCAGAAAGCUGCACAAAUAUUUUAUUUUAUUUUAUUUUAUUGUGGACUUCAAAUCCCAGAGUUCCUCAGCUAGUAAACCCAGCCAGUUGAUCACCGAGGAAAUAGAUUAGCUGAGCGAUUGAUGCUGUCUGGCUGAAACUGAAACUGCUUUCGGGCUGUGGCUAUGCGUUCAUCAGUAAUCAGGUAAGUGCCUUAGAAUCUCUACUCUUACUUGUAGAAAACAUGUUUUCUACAAGUAAGAGUACAAGUAAGGUUCUGCUGUUUUUUACUUUUAAAGGCCUGUUUCUGCUGAAGCAAAACCGGCUUUUAAAAGUAAAAAAAAAACCUCUGCAGAUGGUGCGGCUCAGCAGAGGCAGGGAGGGCGGGGCCAGGAAUUUUUGCUACCGGUCCUCCGAACCAGCAGCUGCCAUCGCUACCGGAUCGUGCGAUCCCGUCCGAUCCGGGAGCAUUUCACCCCUGAGGUAACAGCUUCCAUAUAUCACCCCACUCUCCAGUUCUAUGCAGGGUGAGCCAUUUCAGGGCAAAUUAAGUUGACUUUGUAAAUAUACAGAUAGAAUGAGACUAUUGCCUUACACACUGUAAGCCGCCCUAAGUCUUCGGAGAAGGGCGGGAUAUAAAUGUAAACAAAACAAAAAAUCAUAGGUAUGGUCAUCACAGUUUCUAUUGCUUGGAAAUAUUCUUAUACUUUAAAGGUGAUAAUAGCCUUUUGUUAAAGACAAUAAAACUUACACAAAAAUCAAACUUUGUGUUUAUUGAUCUAUUCAAACAGUACCUUUGUGAACAAGAAUCUCUACAUCUGAGUAAUAUUCUAACACUUUACAUUUUUAUUAUGGCAACAAACUUCAUCUGUAUAAUUAAUAAAAUAAUAAAUAAAUAAUUUCCCUUUCAAUCUGACACUGGAGUGUGCUGACUGGUGUUCAUUCCAUUGAUCAAGCAUUUUCAUCCAACAGGAUCCAAAAGCAAAUCUUCUGUUGUGGCACCUGUCCUCUGGAAUGGUGUCCCCACCCCCCAGCUCCCCAAAGAUCUGGAUGGUUUCCAGUCUGAUGUCAUUUAGGAAACUGCCCUGAAAGACCCCAUCCCAUCACUGGGAGUCCAGGCACUUCAGUGAGCGGCGCGCUGGAUUCAUAUUAGUGGUCCACGGGAUUUAAAAUUAUGAAUUUAGUGGCCCCUGAGGUCCGAAAAGUUGGUAACCCUGUACUAGAGAGCUGGCUACGGGUGGUCCUUCGCUUACAAUCACAACUGGUACUAGAAUGUCUGAUUCUAAGGAAAGCAAUUAAAUGAAUUGUGCCUGAUUUUAUAACUUUUUUUGCCACAGUUGUUAAGUGAAUAACUGCAAUUGUUGAAUGAAUCACAUACUCAUUAAGUGAAUCCGACUUCCCCAUUGACUUCGCUUGUAAAAAGCUGGGUGUGAAGGUAGCAAAUGGUGACCGUAUGAGCCUAAAAUGCUGCAACUAUUGUAAAUGUAUGCCAGUUGCCAAGUACUCGAAUAUUGAUCACACUACCCUGUGGAUGCUACAAUGGUUGUAAGCAAAAGGACCAAAGGAUAAGAGUCAUAAUGGAUUGAAAUGCAUGAAAAAUAUUCAAAGAAUACAUGCAAUUUUACUUAUAUAAUAUGUAGGAGAGUAAGCAAAAAAAAAAAAGGAACAAAUACUAUAUAGAACUAAUAAGAAUUACUCUUUUUAAACUAAUUAUCAUACACAACCAUAGUUCUUCCAAUGAUUCCUCUAAGUUUUGAUGGUCUGUGUGCUCAACAAAUAUAUUUUGUGAAAUAUUUUGGAAACAGAAUUUUAAUUUGCAUGCUGUGAGGUAAGUGCAUAGUAACAAGUAUAAUGCAAUUAUUACAUACUUUAUAGAUUUUUAAAAUUUUAUUUAAACUGGAAAUAAUUUUACAAUGCCAAGCUAAUAAAAUACAUUCUUAUAUGCUUCUAUACAGCCUAUUUCGUGGUCCUGUGUGAAAAAUCACAUAAAGAAAGAAAAAUAUUAUAGCUUUUCCCUAUGAUACUUAGCAUCUGCUCAUGCAGAAUAAACUCUGUCCAGACCUAGUAAUCUUUCAUCAAGUUGAAAAGUCUUUGGCCUUGACCAGGGCCAAACGAUCUAGUGAAAAAUUGAUAAUUUUUAGUGUAUUCAUUAAGCUGAAGCAAUGCUCAUAAUGUACACGAGAUUCUAAAGAUGUUCUUCCAAAACUCACUCACUCUGGCAAAUCUUGAAACCGUUCUCUCUGAUGUGUGAAUGUCACCAACCAUAUAAUUUGAGACAAUUUUCAUUGUUAUCUUUUUUUCACUUAAUUGCAAACUUGAUGCAAUAGUCAAAGGAUAGGAAACCCUGUCUUUUAUGUUAUAUUGGAUUCAUUAUCUGUAUCUAUAUGCACCUGCACAAAGCUUGGAUGGAACAAGACCCUUCCUUCUGGAAAGACGAGAUAUGGAAUAAAAAAUUUCCAGGAAGAAUAUAAUAUAUAUGGCUGGCUACUAAAAACUGAAUGGAGUUAAAUAAGCCCUAAAAGUAUCAAUAAAAUACUAGGGUUCAUACACUUCAUGGUCAGUACUAUGUAUCAUACAUAGAUUUCCUAUGCGCUAAUAUAUUGCACAGGUGUUCGUUUAUGUUUAAUAACUUCUACCCGUUUUAUCAAGUGAAGGGAAAACAUCAGCCUGUAUUACUACAACAAUGUAAUCUUGGGUUUACUUUGCUAACAGUAAACUUUGCACUGUUUUUAAAUGUUUGAAAAUAACUCAAGCAAUUUAUCUAGAGUGUUCUACAGAUACUACUGUUGGAAUGAUGUGAGCAAUUUAAAUUUCUUUUGACUAAAUUCGAAUUAAUUAUUUCAGAUUGGCAUCAAAAUAUAUAGUGUGCACCAAUGAAAGAAUUAGAAGAGGGUAAUUGACUACUUUGAGACUAUUAAUUGUAUUUCCUUCAUGAUACACCUAAGAAAUCUUUAAAUGGUAUAGAGAUUUUCAAUGAAACAUUAUUAAAAUACUAACUUGAAGGAUGUCACUGAAUUCAGUACAAUGCAAGUACAGACAAAGCUGUGCAUUUAGAAUGCCUUACUACUAACCAUAUGUUUUCCAGGAGCAGGAAAUAUGACAAAUCUACAUGCCAAGCAAUAUCAGAAACUGCCAAUUUGUUUAACAAAUUAAUACAGAAAUCAGAAAAAUUAUGGAAAAUUAACAUUUGUGUUAUUAUGUAUAUAUGUAACUCUACAAUCUGUUUUUCCACAUUCUGCACAAGGGAACUAUAACCUCCACUUUCCUAAUCUUGUCUAAAAGCCACUAUGAAAUUAUAAAUAUUUAUGUGAUAGAAUGAGGUUCAUGUAUGGUCAAAAUAUGAUUAUAACAUAAUUUAAUCCCCCCCCCCGGGUCUUGUUCAU